CCCCCCCCGUGCAAUUGGAUCCUUGACUUCCUGACGGGCCGACCCCCAGGUGCUGAAGGAGGCUGAAGAAAUUCAGCUUGGCCCCAAAGACCCUCAAGAACUUCUACAGAUGCAUAGUACUGUACUGCCCGCAACCGCAGGGCUCUCUAGAGGGUGAUGCAGACAACCCAGCACAUCACCAGGGUUCACACUGCCUGCCCUCCGGGACAUCUACAGCACCAGGUGUCACCAAGAAGGCCAAGAAGAUCAUCGAGGACCUCCGCCACCUGAGCCACAGCCUGUUCACCCCACUGCCAUCUAGAAGGUGGGGACCGUACAGGUGGAUUAAAGCUGGGACCGAGAGACUGGUAAACAGCUUUUAUCUCCAGGCCAUCAGACUGUUAAACAGUCACCAUUAGCCUUAGUCACUGUUCUUGCCAGCUACCACCCGGUACUCCACCCUGCACCUUGGAGACUGCUGCCCUAUGUACAUAGAGUCAUUCAACACUGGUCCCUUUAAUAAUCUUUACAUACUGUUUUACCCACUUUAUAUGUAUAUAGUGUAUUCUAGUCAUGGCUCAUCCUAUAUAACUACUUCUGUACACACCUUUUCUAUUCAUAUCCUGUCCAUACAGUCUAUACACACCAUUAUAUACAGUAUAAUGGUGUGUAUAGACACACCAGGCCCACCCAUGGCUGCUCCCCUGCCCAGUCAUGUGAAAUCCAUAGAUUAGGACCUAAUGAAUGUAUUUUAAUUGACUGAUUUCCUUAUAUGAACUGUAACUCAGCAACAUUUUUGAAAUUGUUGCAUGUUGCAUUUAUAUUUUUGUUCAGCAUACAUGUAAAGUGGGUUCAACAGUUUGUAAAUAUUAUUAAAGUGACCAAUGUUCAAUGAGGUCCUUCUGUGGCUCAGUUGGUAGAGCAUGGCGCUUGUAACGCCAGGGUAGUGGGUUCGAUUCCCGGGACCACCCAUACGUAGAAUGUAUGCACACAUGACUGUAAGUCGCUUUGGAUAAAAGCGUCAGCUAAAUGGCAUAUAUUAUUAUUAUUAUUAUUAAUGACUCUUUGUACAUAGAGCAGCCGUCUCUAAGGUGCAGGGUAGAAUACCUGAUGGUAGCCAGCUAAUAACAGUGUCUUAGGUUCAUGGCAGGGCCCUGGGCCGGAGGCUGGCUAGUGAUGACUGACGACGCUGGCUAGGAGCGAGUAACAGGGUGACUGUGUCUGUCGGCGUCAUCUUGUGUCAUCUAUAAUAAAAAUGUGUUGCAUUACCUCCACAGUGUAGUGGUUCUACAGAUCGAUCGCACUAAUUGCUGUUUGUGAACAUGCAGAUAUUGAACUGUCUGGCUGCUGAUGGAACUUGACUCUGGUGCAUUAAUUAAGACUGUUGUUCUCCUUCAGACCACUGGAGGGCGUUCAAACAAUGUCCACCCUACACUUCAUUCUCACGCUGGUGACCACAAAGGAGAAUGAGCUUUAAAAGAUUAAGAGUUGCAUUUAAGAAUAUCAUUGAUUAAAAUCCAUAAUCCCUGAUCAAUUAUUUUUUUUGUAGAACUAACAGGUCAGAUAGGGGUUCAGAUGAGAGCAGAGGGUCAAGGUGGGGCUGAGUUACUGAGAGAGCACCACCUGAUCAUGUAUGUUUCUGUGUGUGCUGUGUGUGCUGUGUGUGUGAGCAGGAACAAGUGAGUGUGGUGUGUAUUAGCGGGAAGUGUGUGUUAUGUGUUAGGAUUAUAACCCAGACAUCGUUUCAGCCUUCUAUCUCUGACACUUUAAACUUGAUUACCAGAGGAGCUACCAGCCUAUACCGCAGUACGAUAUGAAAAAAUAAGAAAUCUGUUAAAUACUUUCAAUAUUUGGUGCUGGAUAUGUAUACGCUUGUGUAUUACAUAAUUUACACAUGUGGUAUUACAAGUCUAUUACUAUUUUCAAACAUUGCUGCACAAGGGUUAAUGUGCGCAAGUUGGUGGCAGAACAAGCUGGAGUUCUUAUGGAUUAUAAUUCGAUUUUAUGGCUCGUUUGAAUGUCAUGCUUAAUGUUUGUGUCAUUGUAAAUCAACUGCAUUAUACUUUAAAAAACACUUAAACUUCAACCAGCAAAAUGGCUCUUUGGCAAGCUUUUGCUACAGCCUAUAUCAAUUAGCGUUAGCAUUCUAGCUUUUGCUACAGCCGAUAUCAAUUAGCGUUAGCAUUCUAGCUUUUGCUACACCCGAUAUCAAUGAGCGUUAGCAUUCUAGCUUUUGCUACAGCAGAUAUCAAUGAGCGUUAGCAUUCUAUCUUUUGCUACAGCCUAUAUCAAUUAGCGUUAGCAUUCUAGCUUUUGCUACAGCCUAUAUCAAUUAGCGUUAGCAUUCUAGCUUUUGCUACAGCCUAUAUCAAUUAGCGUUAGCAUUCUAGCUAACAACUGUUGCAUCCACAAUAGUUAUUUUGCAAAAAUCACAACCGAAUAUAAUCUUAGCGACGGUUUAAGCAAAAAUCAAAACAUCAAUGUAAGCAUAUGAGAACCCUAAAAAGUUAUUUUAUUUAGAAGUAAUAUAAACAUCAAUCUAGACUAUGUUGAAUGGGCGCAGAUGGCGAUGACUUUCUUUCUGCCGCAAAGAGUCGCACACAUAAACUCAGCAAAAAAAAUAAACGUCCUCUCACUGUCAACUGUGUUCAUUUUCAGCAAACUUAACAUGUGUAAAUAUUUGUAUGAACAUAACAAGAUUCAACAACUGAGACAUAAACUGAACAAGUUCCACAGA